CUUGAAUCUACAGUAAUUUUGCUGGUUGUUCUGCAUUAAACAAAUGGCUUACAACGCAGAUGCAAAUUUUAGGGAGGUAAUGGAAAUAUUACAGUAUGGGAUUCUGCUGAUGAUUAUUACAUAUGUUAGUGGUCAAUCAUUGACAUCCUCUGAUUCAGUGGUGAAGAAACCUGGAGAAUCAGUCACUCUGUCCUGUACUGUGUCUGGAAUCUCUAUGAGCAGCUACAUGCACUGGAUCCGUCAGAAACCACAGAAAGGACUGGAAUGGAUUGGAUAUAUAGAUGGUGGCACUGGCACUGCUUUUGCUCAGUCUCUUCAGGGUCAAUUCUCCAUAACUAAAGACACCAGCAGAAACAUACUGUACUUGCAGAUAAAAAGCCUAAAGGCUGAGGACACAGCUGUGUAUUAUUGUGCAAGAGAGUCACAGUAAGACAAAAAACACAAGUGCUGCACAAAAACUUUUAAUGCAAAAUAUCAAAAUUUUUAUGAGAUCACAUGAGCAAUUAAACCUCUCUUUUGUGAUUAUCUUGGGUCAUCCUGGUGAUAUGCAUUCCAUGUUGGCAAAUAUUAAAAAACAACUGAAAAAAAUUGGCUUAACCCAUCACAACUGCACUGUUGCUUACGACUAAUAAGCAAUGCAGUUCUGUGUAUCACUGUUUUGCUCUGUUUGGUUUAUUUGUAAAUUGUACAUACAUUUAUUGCUGUGUUAUAAUUAUAAAAAAUAUAAAUAAACUGCAGGUGUAUCUGCAUAUGACAUAACUGCAGGCUUACUGUGCCCAAAGAAGAGGCU